UAUAUUUGCCGCCUGAAAGAAAGACUUUCAGCAUACAUAAUAAUCAUUGAAAUAAUAUUGGAAUG
rnacentral:ncRNA from 1 species